UACGUAGGGCGCGAGCGUUGUCCGGAAUUAUUGGGCGUAAAGAGCUCGUAGGCGGCUUGUUGCGUCUGCUGUGAAAUCCCGGGGCUUAACCCCGGGCGUGCAGUGGAUACGGGCAGGCUGGAGGCAGGCAGGGGAGAAUGGAAUUCCCGGUGUAGCGGUGAAAUGCGCAGAUAUCAGGAGGAACACCGGUGGCGAAGGCGGGUCUCUGGGCCGAUACUGACGCUGAGGAGCGAAAGCGUGGGGAGCGAACAGG
rnacentral:rRNA from 1 species